AGAGUUUGAUCAUGGCUCAGAGCGAACGCUGGCGGCAGGCUUAACACAUGCAAGUCGAACGCCCGUAGCAAUACGGGAGUGGCAGACGGGAGAGUAACACGUGGGAACGUGCCCUUCAGUUCGGAACAACCCAGGGAAACUUGGGCUAAUACCGGAUACGUCCGUAAGGAGAAAGAUUUAUCGCUGAAGGAUCGGCCCGCGUCUGAUUAGCUAGUUGGUGAGGUAACGGCUCACCAAGGCGACGAUCAGUAGCUGGUCUGAGAGGAUGAUCAGCCUCAUUGGGACUGAGACACGGCCCAAACUCCUACGGGAGGCAGCAGUGGGGAAUCUUGGACAAUGGGCGCAAGCCUGAUCCAGCCAUGCCGCGUGGGUGAUGAAGGCCCUAGGGUUGUAAAGCCCUUUCGGCGGGGAAGAUAAUGACGGUACCCGCAGAAGAAGCCCCGGCUAACUUCGUGCCAGCAGCCGCGGUAAUACGAAGGGGGCUAGCGUUGCUCGGAAUCACUGGGCGUAAAGCGCACGUAGGCGGCUUUUUAAGUCAGGGGUGAAAUCCUGGAGCUCAACUCCAGAACUGCCUUUGAUACUGAGAAGCUUGAGUUCGGGAGAGGUGAGUGGAACUGCGAGUGUAGAGGUGAAAUUCGUAGAUAUUCGCAAGAACACCAGUGGCGAAGGCGGCUCACUGGCCCGAUACUGACGCUGAGGUGCGAAAGCGUGGGGAGCAAACAGGAUUAGAUACCCUAGUAGUCC
rnacentral:rRNA from 1 species